GGGAGAGGAAGUGCGUUGGUGCGGGAGAGCCGGACGUCCGCUUCUUCCGGUAGUUCGGGCGGGUUUGGGAACGAGGAUGUAUCAUUGUGCAACAUCCGGGCAGCAGUUCUGGUCACCACGUGGAUUUGUAAACACAGAAAACAGGCAGCAGCCAGUGUGCAAGUCACCAAAAGUCUCACUGAGAACCCACAUGGCAUCGAAUGUUUUCAGUGCCUUUAACAAGACAAGCUCCUGAAUUAAAGACUAUUUUGUGAAAA
rnacentral:sRNA from 1 species